CCUACGGUUGGCUGCAGUGAGGAAUUUUGGUCAAUGGACGAGAGUCUGAACCAGCCAAGUAGCGUGAAUGAUGACUGCCCUAUGGGUUGUAAACUUCUUUUAUAUGGGAAUAAAAUGUUCCACGUGUGGGAUUUUGUAUGUACCAUAUGAAUAAGGAUCGGCUAACUCCGUGCCAGCAGCCGCGGUAAUACGGAGGGGCCGAGCGUUAUCCGGAUUGACUGGGUUUAAAGGGAGCGUAGGGGGAUUGUUAAGUCAGUUGUGAAAGUUUGCGGCUCAACCGUAAAAUUGCAGUUGAAACUGGCAGUCUUGAGUACAGUAGAGGUGGGCGGAAUUCGUGGUGUAGCGGUGAAAUGCUUAGAUAUCACGAAGAACUCCGAUUGCGAAGGCAGCUAACUGGACGGCAACUGACACUGAGGUUCGAAAGUGUGGGUAUCAAACAGGAUUAGAUACCCUUGUAGUC
rnacentral:rRNA from 1 species